ACACACACACACACACACUUUCUCUUUCAUUUUUUCUUUUUCUUUAUUUUUUUGUUCUAUUUAGUCAGUGUUUUCCUCCGUGUCCCUGGCUGGUCUAGAUCUUGCCUGCUGAGCAUUGGCACUCCAGCAUGCAUGUCAUCCUGCCUGGCUUAGAACUAAGAUGUCUCACCUCACCUGUCUGAGACGCUGCCUGGGGAUUUCCUGGUAUUUUAGAUGUACAUAUAGAAAUAUACAUGCACUUUUAGAAAUAUACAUGGAAGUAAUCUCUAACUUAGGACUCUCCAUAUGUGCACACAGUUCUUCGUGAGGGUGAGAGGUUGCAUCAAGUGUCUUACUCUUUGAGACCAGAUCUCUCACUGAAUCUGGAGCUCACUAAUCCUGAAAGCCCAGCUGGCUUGGCAGCCCCAGGGAUGGAUGUUCUUGUAUCCACUUCCCCAUCACGGAGAUAGUAGGUGUGCAGUACCUAACUUUUUAGGUGGGUGCUGGGAAUCAAAACUCAGGUCCUCAUGUUUGCUUUACUAAGCCAAGCCGUCUCUCCAGCUCAUUAAUGGCUUGUCUUAUGCUUUCUUCACCUUUGCAAUAAUGUGGAAGUGAUACACAGUCAAUUGAAAUGGUACUUUGAAGUUAGAGUUGGGAGUUUUCCCCCAGGCUGGUGAAAUUCCUUUGCAGUCUGUCUCUUGAUGCUGGCCAGCUGUGUGAACUCUAGCCCCAGUCCUUCAGGAGGGUGGAUAGCCUUGUUGUACAUAUUAUAUAUACUAAGACGUCCUUGGUAAGACAGGAGGCAUAGGAUGCCCCCUGUUGUUUGUCAUACCUCACAGGGACAUACCCACGUCAGUGAAGGCUCAUCUCACAGAGGAGAAGGACAGCUCACUAGUGCAACUGUUGCUGUGCCCCUCUGGCUGAAACAUCAGAACGGACUGGUCCUGCCUUUUUGGAGGUUAGGCCUGUCUCAGGGAAGGCUGCUUCUGUUACUGUGAAAUGAUCUGGGCCUCUCUCCCAGCUUAGCAUGACUCGUUGACGAUCUCUGUUGUUCCUUGCCUACUGUGAACAUUUUGUGCUCUCUGCUGUCAGGGAUAUCAAUGAUCCUCUCCUGUGUGCAUCUCCAUGUCCGUUCCCCUGUUGUAAGGACACCAGUUCUGUCCCGAGAGGGGCUCACCCCAGUUCAUUUGGUAUGAGCUCAUCUUAAAGGAGGAGACCGACAUUGAUGGAAUUUCAAAUUAUGUUACAGUCUGAACCUGUUCUUUUCUGGAGAGCUCAGGGCUCAAAUGCUGCAACUGCAAUGCCCAUGAGGCUGUGGAAGGAGAAUGCUGGGGGAAGCCAUGUGCUGGUGUUCAUAUGUGCCGUGGGACGCUAGGCUUGGCAUCAAACCACCCUGUCUUCCCUCUGUGCAAGUGUGUGCACAGAUGUUCAAUGAAUGGACUCAAGUCACAGGGUCACACUUCUUUCUUUCCAUAUGAUGUUAGUGUGUGAUUGACAGGCUGGCAGAGGUCCAGAAAGAUCUGGAUUAUGGUUGCCCUCCUCCAGCUUUCUGGUGCCACCUGCCAUAGCCUCUCACUGUACCCCUUUUACAUAAACCACAAAGUCAGUUCAGGGGCUCGGUGUUACCUUUGCUGCCGUAGGGAGGAAGAUACAGAGACUCGGGUGACUUCCCUCCCUGCCUUCAGAUCCCAGAGCUCAUUCAAGAUGGACGUUCAGGGAGCUUGUCUUCAUCCUAUUCCUGGCUUACAAUAAAAGGCCCAAGGUCUAUUAGCUUCUCAUAGAACAUAGCAUCAUGGGGAAGAGCCUGGUAGUAUUUUCUGUCUUUGGCUCUUCUUAAGCAGUGUCUACUCUGUGCAAUAUGAAUAUUACC
rnacentral:lncRNA from 1 species